CCUACGGGUGGCACCAGUGGGGAAUAUUGGACAAUGGGUGAAAGCCUGAUCCAGCAAUGCCGCGUGUGUGAAGAAGGUCUUCGGAUUGUAGAUCACUUUCGACGGGGACGAUGAUGACGGUACCCGUAGAAGAAGCCCCGGCUAACUUCGUGCCAGCAGCCGCGGUAAUACGGGGGGGGCAAGUGUUCUUCGGAAUGACUGGGCGUAAAGGUCACGUAGGCGGUGAAUCGGGUUGAAAGUGAAAGUCGCCAAAAACUGGCGGAAGACUCUCGAAACCAAUUCACUUGAGUGGGACAGAGGAGAGUGGAAUUUCGUGUGUAGGGGUGAAAUCCGGAGAUCUACGAAGGAACGCCAAAAGCGAAGGCAGCUCUCUGGGUCCCUACCGACGCUGGAGUGCGAAAGCAUGGGGAGCGAACGGGAUUAGAUACCCCUGUAGUC
rnacentral:rRNA from 1 species